AGACCCGAAACCCGGUGAUCUAGCCAUGGGCAGGUUGAAGGUUGGGUAACACUAACUGGAGGACCGAACCGACUAAUGUUGAAAAAUUAGCGGAUGACCUGUGGCUGGGGGUGAAAGGCCAAUCAAACCGGGAGAUAGCUGGUUCUCCCCGAAAGCUAUUUAGGUAGCGCCUCGUGAAUUCAUCUCCGGGGGUAGAGCACUGUUUCGGCUAGGGGGCCAUCCCGGCUUACCAACCCGAUGCAAACUGCGAAUACCGGAGAAUGUUAUCACGGGAGACACACGGCGGGUGCUAACGUCCGUCGUGAAGAGGGAAACAACCCAGACCGCCAGCUAAGGUCCCAAAGUCAUGGUUAAGUGGGAAACGAUGUGGGAAGGCCCAGACAGCCAGGAUGUUGGCUUAGAAGCAGCCAUCAUUUAAAGAAAGCGUAAUAGCUCACUGGUCGAGUCGGCCUGCGCGGAAGAUGUAACGGGGCUAAACCAUGCACCGAAGCUGCGGCAGCGACACUGUGUGUUGUUGGGUAGGGGAGCGUUCUGUAAGCCUGUGAAGGUGUGUCGUGAGGCAUGCUGGAGGUAUCAGAAGUGCGAAUGCUGACAUAAGUAACGAUAAAGCGGGUGAAAAGCCCGCUCGCCGGAAGACCAAGGGUUCCUGUCCAACGUUAAUCGGGGCAGGGUGAGUCGACCCCUAAGGCGAGGCCGAAAGGCGUAGUCGAUGGGAAACGGGUUAAUAUUCCCGUACUUGGUGUUACUGCGAAGGGGGGACGGAGAAGGCUAUGUUGGCCGGGCGACGGUUGUCCCGGUUUAAGCGUGUAGGUGUGUGUUCCAGGUAAAUCCGGUUCACUUUAACACUGAGGCGUGACGACGAGGCACUACGGUGCUGAAGCAACAAAUGCCCUGCUUCCAGGAAAAGCCUCUAAGCAUCAGGUAACAUCAAAUCGUACCCCAAACCGACACAGGUGGUCAGGUAGAGAAUACCAAGGCGCUUGAGAGAACUCGGGUGAAGGAACUAGGCAAAAUGGUGCCGUAACUUCGGGAGAAGGCACGCUGACACGUAGGUGAAGUGAUUUACUCAUGGAGCUGAAGUCAGUCGAAGAUACCAGCUGGCUGCAACUGUUUAUUAAAAACACAGCACUGUGCAAACACGAAAGUGGACGUAUACGGUGUGACGCCUGCCCGGUGCCGGAAGGUUAAUUGAUGGGGUCAGCGCAAGCGAAGCUCCUGAUCGAAGCCCCGGUAAACGGCGGCCGUAACUAUAACGGUCCUAAGGUAGCGAAAUUCCUUGUCGGGUAAGUUCCGACCUGCACGAAUGGCGUAAUGAUGGCCAGGCUGUCUCCACCCGAGACUCAGUGAAAUUGAACUCGCUGUGAAGAUGCAGUGUACCCGCGGCAAGACGGAAAGACCCCGUGAACCUUUACUAUAGCUUGACACUGAACAUUGAGCCUUGAUGUGUAGGAUAGGUGGGAGGCUUUGAAGUGUGGACGCCAGUCUGCAUGGAGCCGACCUUGAAAUACCACCCUUUAAUGUUUGAUGUUCUAACGUGGACCCGUUACCCGGGUUGCGGACAGUGUCUGGUGGGUAGUUUGACUGGGGCGGUCUCCUCCUAAAGAGUAACGGAGGAGCACGAAGG
rnacentral:rRNA from 1 species